ACUGCGCGCCCUGUACGCACAUGGAGAAGGAAGGGACACGCGCGGAGAGAGCGCGGGUGUCAGAGCUCGAGCCUCGACGGCCCUGAAGUCAUAGUGUUUGUACAAAGUGGUGGCACCAGACCAGGGGGAGCCGAGAGCGAGAUUCCGAGGUGGGGGGAAUGGGGCUGCCCUAUAAGUGACCAAGUGAGACUCCCGAUAUUUAAUUCAGCUUUUUUCAGAAGGAAAAGAAAAAACAAUAAUGAGCCUCUGAGAUGCUCCUUCUGCAUUAACCAGCUAUCGACCUGGCUGCGUCGGACUGCGGGCAGCGAGAAAGAGGACAGGGAAAGGCCAGGCGGCUCUUAGGGACUCAGUCACGCCGGCGGAGGGUUGGGGGGGGGGCGCCCACAGCCCAGGCGGUGAACCUCCAGACCCAGACGUGGACCCAAGAACCUCGCAUAUUAGAUCCCUCCAGGAUCCCCAGGCCUCGAGCAGAAGCGGCCUCCUGGCUACCCUACUUUCCAAUUGAGAACAGCCCUGGUCUGUCCCGGCCAUCUGCGCGCCACGUCGAGACUCAGCGUCCCAGGCAGCCGCGUCCCAACGUGGCGCUGGUCCCCCAACUCGACAGGGCCAGUGGAGCCUGACUGUGGGUUGAACUCGAGGGUCCGAGGGCAGCUGAACCUUUUCCAGGGAUUUUUAAUCCAACAGAUUAAAUGGUCAGAGUGACACACUCGCGCAGGGAAGAAAAGCAGGUGCACAGAAGUAGAUUUGGGAAAGUCGCGCGCACGAACGCGCUUCACGCAGAAGCUUCUCCAUCAUCUUGCCUUCUUUCAACAUUCCCAGCGCACAAAGCGCUUUGGAGACUGACUGCAGGCCCUCUCAAUGCGGCCCAGGGAGCGGGGAGUGUUCGGAGAAGGUGUCUGUGCAUCGCACACGCUUGGCGCGCGUGCGCCGGAUGCGCUCCGGGAGCCGCUGCCCGACGUGUGCCCAGGGCCCGCGGCUCGCCAGGUUCUGGGGGCUGCGCCUCGCACUUUACAAGAGGGGAGUCACCAGGCCCGCUUCCUGCCCCCUCCUCGCCCAGCCUCACGG
rnacentral:antisense_RNA from 1 species